rnacentral:rRNA from 4 species
GAGUAAUGUCUGGGAAACUGCCUGAUGGAGGGGGAUAACUACUGGAAACGGUGGCUAAUACCGCAUAACGUCGCAAGACCAAAGAGGGGGACCUUCGGGCCUCUUGCCAUCAGAUGUGCCCAGAUGGGAUUAGCUUGUUGGUGAGGUAACGGCUCACCAAGGCGACGAUCCCUAGCUGGUCUGAGAGGAUGACCAGCCACACUGGAACUGAGACACGGUCCAGACUCCUACGGGAGGCAGCAGUGGGGAAUAUUGCACAAUGGGCGCAAGCCUGAUGCAGCCAUGCCGCGUGUAUGAAGAAGGCCUUCGGGUUGUAAAGUACUUUCAGCGGGGAGGAAGGUGUUGUGGUUAAUAACC